GACGAACCGUACGAACGUUAUUCGGAAUUACUGGGCUUAAAGGGUGCGUAGGCGGCGCAGUAAGUUGGGGGUGAAAUCCCUCGGCUUAACCGAGGAAUUGCGCCCAAAACUACUGUGCUCGAGGGAGAUAGAGGUGAGCGGAACUUAGGGUGGAGCGGUGAAAUGCGUUGAUAUCCUAAGGAACACCGGUGGCGAAAGCGGCUCACUGGAUCUCUUCUGACGCUGAGGCACGAGAGCUAGGGUAGCGAACGGG
rnacentral:rRNA from 1 species